rnacentral:rRNA from 1 species
GAUGAACGCUUUCUUCUUUCCUAAUACAUGCAAGUCGAGCGAACGGACGAGAAGCUUGCUUCUCUGAUGUUAGCGGCGGACGGGUGAGUAACACGUGGAUAACCUACCUAUAAGACUGGGAUAACUUCGGGAAACCGGAGCUAAUACCGGAUCAUAUUUUGAACCGCAUGGUUCAAAAGUGAAAGACGGUCUUGCUGUCACUUAUAGAUGGAUUCGCGCUGCAUUAGCUAGUUGGUAAGGUAACGGCUUACCAAGGCAACGAUGCAUAGCCGACCUGAUAGGGUGGACGAGCACACUGGAAAUGAGACAACGGCCAAGAUCCUACGGGAGGGAGGAGGAGGGGAAUUUCCGCAAUGGGCGGAAGCCUGACUGAACAACGCCGGGUGGGUGAUGGAGGUCUUCGGGUCGUAAAACUCUGUUAUUAGGGAAGAACAUAUGUGUGAGUAACUGUGCGCAUGUUUGCCGGACCUAAACAAAAAGCCACGGCUAACUACGGGC